AGCCCCGUCGUCUAGUGGUCCAGGACACCGGGCUUUGGACCCGGGAACCCAGGUUCGAAUCCUGGCGGGGCUA
rnacentral:tRNA from 1 species